AUUGAACGCUGGCGGCAGGCCUAAUACAUGCAAGUCGAGCGAGCGGCGGACGGGUGAGUAAUGGCUGGGAAACUGCCUGAUGGAGGGGGCAAACUACUGGAAACGGUAGAUAAUACCGCAUACCAUCAGAUGUGCCCAGAUGGGAUUAGCUAGUAGGUGGGGUAAUGGCUCACCAAGGCGACGAUCCCUAGCUGGUCUGAGAGGAUGACCGGCCACACUGGAACUGAGACACGGUCCAGACUCCUACGGGAGGCAGCAGUGGGGAAUCUUGCACAAUGGGCGCAAGCCUGAUGCAGCCAUGCCGCGUGUGUGAAGAAGGUCUUCGGGUUGUAAAGCUCUUUUAGUAGGGAAGCGUUACUCGCAGAAGAAGCAACGGCUAACUCCGUGCCAGCAGCCGCGGUAAUAC
rnacentral:rRNA from 1 species